UGGGGAAUAUUGGACAAUGGGCGCAAGCCUGAUCCAGCAAUGCCGCGUGGGUGGAGAAGGUUUUCGGAUUGUAAGGCCCUUUCGGCGGGGACGAUGAUGACGGUACCCGCAGAAGAAGCUCCGGCCAACUUCGUGCCAGCAGCCGCGGGAAUACGAAGGGGGGUAGCGUUGCUCGGAAUGACUGGGCGUAAAGGGCGCGUAGGCGGUUGGUACAGUCAGAUGUGAAAUUCCUGGGCUUAACCUGGGGGCUGCAUUUGAUACGUGCUGGCUUGAGUGGGGAAGAGGGUCGUGGAAUUCCCAGUGUAGAGGUGAAAUUCGUAGAUAUUGGGAAGAACACCGGUGGCGAAGGCGGCGACCUGGUCCUUGACUGACGCUGAGGCGCGAAAGCGUGGGGAGCAAA
rnacentral:rRNA from 1 species